GCCCCCGUAGCUCAGAAGGAUAGAGCAGCGGUUUCCUAAACCGUUGGUCGGGUGUUCGAAUCACCCCGGGGGUA
rnacentral:tRNA from 1 species